UACGUAGGGUGCAAGCGUUGUCCGGAAUUAUUGGGCGUAAAGAGCUCGUAGGCGGUUUGUUGCGUCGGCUGUGAAAUCCCGAGGCUCAACCUCGGGUCUGCAGUCGAUACGAGCAAACUAGAGUGUUGCAGGGGAGACUGGAAUUCCUGGUGGUAGCGGUGAAAUGCGCAGAUAUCAGGAGGAACACCGGUGGCGAAGGCGGGUCUCUGGGCAACAACUGACGCUGAGGAGCGAAAGCGUGGGGGAGCGAACAGG
rnacentral:rRNA from 1 species